rnacentral:rRNA from 1 species
GACGAACGCUGGCGGCGUGCUUAACACAUGCAAGUCGAACGGAAAGGCCCUGCUUUUGUGGGGUGCUCGAGUGGCGAACGGGUGAGUAACACGUGAGUAACCUGCCCUUGACUUUGGGAUAACUUCAGGAAACUGGGGCUAAUACCGGAUAGGAGCUCCUGCUGCAUGGUGGGGGUGGGAAAGUUUCGGCGGGUGGGGUUGGACGCGCGGCUUAUCAGCUUGUUGGUGGGGGAGUGGCUUACCAAGGCUUUGACGGGUAGCCGGCCUGAGAGGGUGACCGGCCACAUUGGGACUGAGAUACGGCCCAGACUCCUACGGGAGGCAGCAGUGGGGAAUAUUGCACAAUGGGCGGAAGCCUGAUGCAGCAACGCCGCGUGCGGGAUGACGGCCUUCGGGUUGUAAACCGCUUUCGCCUGUGACGAAGCGUGAGUGACGGUAAUGGGUAAAGAAGCACCGGCUAACUACGUG